rnacentral:misc_RNA from 1 species
GGGGAAGGCGCCGGUGGGACAUGAAACAAAAGAACUACAUAAGAGCAAAGAAGCACAGACACAUACAUCUUGUAGAAUUUGUCGCUUCAUUUACAAAAUAAAAUAAAAGUCAGCAUGAAUAAACAUAUGCUGACAACACAGAGGGAUUGAUUAAGUGAUCUCCAACAAAAGCCUUGAGGGUCCUUCGGAGUUAGAUCAGCUAGGAAGAGCAAAGCAUGACAGUGAGAAGGUAAAUUGAUGGAAAAUGGGUUGCUACGAUUUUUAAGCAGCCAAGGGAAUUAGAUCUCCUGAAUAAAUGCUUGAUCGGUGAAUUGAAGGGGAAAGGACUAGAGAACCAUAAUGGUGUUAAGAUUUGUGAUGAUAUAGUAACGGAGGAAGAUACAGGAUUGAUUAAAGCAAAAUAAAAGUUAUAAAAUAGGGUGGCUGUUCAAGGGCUGUGAACAUUUAUUAGAGAACAUGAAGAUGAACACAAAUAAGGUAAAGGCAGAAGAAAGAAGAUAGUAAUAUCACAACACACACAUAUCUUCAAAACACAAAUCAAAUUCAAUACUUUAUUGCUAAGGUUCCAUUUGAUCCAGAGAAAAGUCUAAGAAGAAUAUUUAUGAUGAAAAUUUUUUGCAAAAAUGAUUUAAUUAUUGUUGUUUGAUUGAAAUA